rnacentral:lncRNA from 1 species
CACGAUGCUAACAGGCAGCAUUCUUCUUGGUCUUCCUCUUCCCACUAUUCAUUUACUUAAAAGAAAGGCAGGAGAAUACACUGAGAUAAAAAUAAAAAUAAAAAAGAAAAGAAAAGAAAAAAACCUGAAGGUGAAAUAUAAGAAGAGUGCUGUGCUUCACCAUUCUCAAAGCAAUUUGUUAGCAUGAUUAGUUCGCAUAGACAUGCAAAGAGUUCUGAAAAAUUCACGAGGAGAGCGUUAUCUACCUAUGUUUGAAGUAAUUCCCAACAGAUAUCUACACUCUGAAAUGGAGCCUACUGAAUCUGUGCCAAAACGAAGAAGACAGAUGUAUUGAUAUCACUACUUAAGUCAGCCAAAAGAUUUUGGUUGACUGCAGGGUACAGGUGUGAGAAUGAAGACACUGCAUAUCUGCCAGUCUGCCUCCUCUCCAUGAUUAAUGGCCUUGCACUUUCUGCUGCCUCUUGCAACUCAUACCUCAUAACUCCCGAGGGAAGGCAAGUAGAGACUUGAUGUGGGACUCUCCUCAGACUGUGUGAACUCCAUGACCUGCUGAUCUGGUAUUAAGAAGUUAAAAUCUACAUAUGCACCCAUACAUAUAUACAGCUCAGUAGAGAUAUAUUGCUUGGCAAAAAAAAAAAAAAAAAAAAAAAAAAAAAAAAGCAACAAGCAUUGUUUUGUGAAAGAAAAAAAAAGAAAAAGAAAAAAGCUUGCAAUAAUUUCUAGCAAGAAAAGCAAAAUUAUCUCUUCACAGCCACUGGUUUUGAGUGGCUGAAAUAUAUUGAGAUGGUAGCUAAUGAUCAUAUUGCCACAAAGGUGCCCAAUCUAGAAUGUUCUGGGGGAAACCUGAUGAGAUGGAAGGAGUCCUUCUGCCUUAGCCAAUUGUUCUCAACAGUUGGGGUGUGCAGCAGCAACAGCAAAAAGGAGGGGGAAGAGUCUGAGUGCCCUGCAGGCUGGACAGCAGUACUAGCAAGUUAGUCACCCAGUCACUGCAACAGGAACCACAGGACAGAAUUAGAGACCUUUUUUUAAGUUAACACAUUUCCUCUGCUAUGGGUGUUUUUUGUGUUUGGAUAGGUUUUUGUUUGUUUGUUUGUUUCAGAAAGACAAUCUGGCUUACUUCUCCAUUUCAAAAUACAGGUUGAAAGAAAAGGUAAGAGCAGCAACUUCACUCACUUCCCACAAUAACCUAGUAAAUCAAAAAGCAGGAUGGCCUAGGACUUUAUGAAGGCACCAAGACAAAUGCUACUGCACUACUUUCAGCCCCAAGCUGCUUUGCACAGAGCAGGUGGAAAUUCUGCACUGUACACUGAGUGAGCUAGUAGCACCCAAGGUGUGACAUGGGUCAUAGUUCCUCUGUGAUCUGAGCUGUGAGUGUGCUGUAACACAUAUGCUUACAUAGAGACUUCAUGAAGAUAAAAAGAGAUAACUUGUUCUGGGUUUCAUAGUUAACGUACAUAACUUCAGCACAGCCAUUAGUUCUAAUCUGUACUGUACAUUCAAGUAUGUUUCAAAAGUAAGAUUGGCCCACGUACUGAAAUAUCUGUGUUAUUGAUCACUGUCCUUGUGCGGUUGCUUAGAAACACUGAGCUGAAGAAUCGAAAUGUUCAUUCACUGAUUCAUUAAGAGAUUUUGGCAGUCUUUCAUAUCAGUUGUUUCUGAUCAUGAAGGCAUGUCCUUGAAAUGACAUCAUAGCAGAGCUUAGGAGAAUAAUUAAAUUUCAGACUUUUUCUGAUAGCUGCAGGCUACCAUCUUAGGUUGCUUUCCAGGCUACUUUAAUUUGAAACUGGAAGCAUAUUCUGAGGUGCCACUUCAAGGUAAAAAGCUGAAACUACUUUUUAGUUUAGCCUUUUCUAUUCUUUGGUCCAUUGCAAAUGUCACCUCUUUAUUUUGGGGUGAUAUUAUAUAUUUUCCCAACCUCUGCUUCAAAACCAGGAGACAACAGUCAAUAACUACUCCGUAUCUCCAGAAUUUAUCUGACGGAAUGAUUGGAAGAAAUCUAUGGACCUUAAAGACGAAGAGAAUUUCCGUUCCUGGAUGUUAUCUACAGAUAGAAGUUAAAUCCCUGUGAGAUCACCGGACAAAGCUCCCACUGACUUCAAAGAUUGGUAAAUGCCAAAAGUUCAUAUGCUGUUUCCAGACAUUCACCGUAACAGACCCUACAUGUAUAUUCACAUGUAAAGAAUGCUAACACUGAAACCUCUGGGAAGAGAAAUACACCCCUGGUGCUGUGAUCCCGCCCUUCUUGUUACUCCUAGCAGUAGGUACCUUACUACCUCCCAGGAGACAUAAGCUCCUAAACACUUCUAGAGAGACAAGUGGAGCUUUGGAAACCGAUUCCAACAGACUACAAGCAUGGAUCUCAGGGUUUUGAUCAGGCCUGUUUGUAAAGUGUUGUUUCAAGCGUUGCUGUCCUUCAGCUGAAGAACAUUACAGCAAAGAGGGUGGAGUUAUACUCACUCAGGGGGUAGAGCUCCUUCAGUCUCCUUAAUUCAUUGUCCUUUCCUAUAAAUUUUGCUGGUAGUAUCAAUGGUAACAUUCACAACUAGAAGAGACCAUCAGCUAUUUGUUCCUUUUAUUCUAUUCAAAGUAAACUGAAAAUCUGGCAGCUGUAUAUAGUCACUUCCUUACCUUUUUGCCCCUUACUCAGAACUGGCUCAGCGGUUGCAAGAGUAAGAAACAUAGCACUGCCCAGAAAGGUACAAGUAAGAGAGUUUUAAAAAAGCCUCAGGCCAAAGUCAUUACAUUUCACUGAAUGUACUGGGAUUGUGGAGUGUAACAGAGCAGCAACUAGGUCGCUAGGAGGUGGAACAACUACUUCUCUUAGAGAAAGGCAACUCUUUACCAUGCAGUUGUUGCUUAGUGCCUAUGCCUUAGUGAAACACUCAGGUCUCUCAAAAAAUCCUCAAGGGUAAAAUGUAUGCUGCUAUGGAGUAUGAUGCUUACAAUGAUGAUUUAUUAGUAGUGCAUCUGUUUUUUUCUUUAUAAGACUCAGAACCCAAGAGGACAGUUUCAGAUUAUUCCAAAUCCCACUAUUUCAAUGCUAAUUACUAAAAAUGCAGGAGCAACGCACUUCCUCUGCUUGGACCAUCUGGCAAAUUUCUCAGCUUUGCAGUUUGCUGGUCUUCAGAGUUACCCCACAAGUUAUAGGAAAAAAAAUAUUUCUGAACUCUCUAAGAGUAACAUUAUUAGUUAACAUGUUUGAAAGAACAGAAUAGAAAUGCAGAGGUUCUGAUAACAAAGGUUGAGGUUUCAGAUUAAUGGCAAAAUAAUUACGAAGUCUAGAGAAUGGAAGGACAAGUUUGAUAAAAAUAAACAUAUUUUUUUCUACAUGUGGCUGGUAUUUCUGUCUCCUGAUGUUUUUUUCUGAGGUGAACUUCUGUAAAAUAAUAAAAUGCAAUGAGUUUGAUACAUUUUGAUGUCUGACAGAGGCACUGUAAGGUAACAAAUUAGGCUCUUAAAGCGUGCAAGAAAAUGGAGAAUUCUAGUGAAAUUGUAUCAGAC